rnacentral:lncRNA from 11 species
CGGUGCGGGGUGCGUGCCCAAGAUGUGCGGUGCAAAAGGGGAGAAAGAAAAAAAGAAGAGACCCGGGGAUGAUUUGUGAAGAAAUCAUCCUUGUAAAGCUAUUGGUUCUGGUCAUCAGCCUUUAUCCAAUGCUUUGGCGGUGAUGCUGCUGCUGCUCUAUUUGGGAAGUUGGCUGGCUCUCAAGGCAGUCUCGUUCUCUCUCUCUCUCUCACUCUCUCUCACUCCCUCUCUCUCUCUCUCUCCUCAAAGGCUGUUCCACAGUGAAAAUAUGCUCAGUGCAGAAGGAAAAAGCCUCCGGUGUCUUUUAGGCGAGCAAAAUGCAGCACAGCGCGCAACUUCCCUUGGCCUUCCUCCUGUCCCAGUGAGACCGUACGCGAGCCGGGAAAGCACAGUCCAGGGCAUUGAACGUGGAGGAGAAUCUCUCUCGGGAUCGGAGACCGAUCGGUGCUUUCUUUCUAGCGACAAGGAAUUAGCUCCCUUCCCUGCCUGCGUGUAUGUAUGGGUGUGCAUGCAAAUGGCAUUUUCUUGACACCGGGAGGAGAGUGGAAAUCUCUCAAGUGUGCCUUGUGAGCAUCAGCACCAGCAGCAGCAACGAGGAGGGCUUUCUUUCUCCCCCUUCUUCCUUCCUUCCUUCCUUCCUUCCUUCCUUCCUUCCUUCCUUCCUUCCUUCCUUCCUUCCUUCCUUCCUUCCUUCCCCUGUCACCUCUCCAAGGCUUCAACUUUGAU